GUGCAGAUGGCAGCGCCAUUUUUGGAGCUAUAAACACUCUCACUGUCAUAGCUCUUUGAAUGGUACUGCCAUAUGUAC
rnacentral:pre_miRNA from 11 species